rnacentral:rRNA from 1 species
ACUCCUACGGGAGGCAGCAGUGGGAAUAUUGGACAAUGGGCGCAAGCCUGAUCCAGCAAUGCCGCGUGUGUGAAGAAGGCUUUCGGGUUGUAAAGCACUUUAGUUGGGGAGGAAGACCCCUAGGUAAAUAGCCUAGGGGAGUGACGUUACCCAAAGAAUAAGCACCGGCUAACUCUGUGCCAGCAGCCGCGGUAAGACAGAGGGUGCAAGCGUUAAUCGGAUUUACUGGGCGUAAAGGGCGCGUAGGUGGUUGAUUGCGUCAGAUGUGAAAGGCUCGGGCUUAACCUGAGUAUGUCAUCUGAAACGGGUCAACUAGAGAACAGAAGAGGGAAGUGGAAUUUCCGGAGUAGCGGUGAAAUGCGUAGAUACCGGAAGGAACACCAGUGGCGAAGGCGGCUUCCUGGUCUGUUUCUGACACUGAGGCGCGAAAGCGUGGGGAGCGAACAGGAUUAGAUACCCUGUAGGCUCUG